GAAAAUUUAGUUAAAAUAAUAACAUUAAUUUGUCAAGUUAAAAUUAUUAACUAUUAAUAAUUUUCA
rnacentral:tRNA from 1 species